CCUACGGGUGGCAGCAGUGGGGAAUUUUGCGCAAUGCUCGUAAGAGUGACGCAGUGACGCCGCGUGAAUGACGAAGGCCUUCGGGUCGUAAAGUUCUGUCGACAGGGAAGAAAAUGCAUAGAAGUAACUGUGUAUGCAUUGACGGUACCUGUAUAAGCAGCCUCGGUUAACUCCGUGCCAGCAGCCGCGGUAAUACGGAGGGGGCGAGCGUUGUUCGGAGGGACUGGGCGUAAAGAGCACGUAGGCGGUGUUGUAAGUCAUUAGUCAAAGAACAGAGCCCAACUUUAGUAAGGCUAGUGAUACUAUAAUACUAGAGUAUCAGAGAGGAAUGCAGAAUUCCUGGUGUAGCGGUGAAAUGCGUAGAUAUCAGGAGGAAUACCGUUAGCGAAGGCGGCAAUCUGGCUGGAAACUGACGCUGAGGUGCGAAAGCGUGGGUAGCAAACAGGAUUAGAUACCCUAGUAGUC
rnacentral:rRNA from 1 species